ACACAUUUGGGCAGCGCCAGAGGGGAAACACAUGGCGGUCAUCCUAUGCCCAGGCUGGGUAGGCUUUUCACAUGUUCAGUCAGUCUGUUGUGACGUCUGUGAGCUUCUGAAUCCUGCUCCCAGACCAGGGGAACAGCAUGCCUCUUGUUGUCGCAUGCUGGCAGAGCUCCAGUCUUCCGUCUGGGAGAGAGCAUGCAGGCUGGGGUGUCUGGUGGGGUGUGCGUGUCCGAUACCAUGCAGUUCGCCGGUGUCUUGGCUUUUGCAGCGGGGUGAGUCUCUGGGCGGGUCUCAGUAUGGGAUUGUCAGGAGUUGAUGGGGCACCUGGAGACAUAGUAGCAUGGUGCACAGGGGAUGCUCAGGCCUCCCUCUGAAGUAAUGUCCUUCAUCCCCUACCUGGAUCAUAUCGGUGUGGGUCGGUUUUAUCCUAUCCUCCAGCAUGACCCAGAAGCGGGCAAAGAUUGCAUCAAGUCUAGCUGAGAUGCUGCAUAAGGGAGCUGUGGAGUCUGCUGUGUGGCUUAAGGCCGGG